rfam:Triticum aestivum genome assembly, contig: Triticum_aestivum_CS42_TGACv1_scaffold_158066_2DL
AAUGUACUCCCUCCGUCCGAAAAUACUUGUCAUCAAAAUGAAUAAAAGGGGAUGUAUCUAGAUGUAUUUUAGUUCUAGAUACACCCCCUUUUUGUCCAUUUUCAUGACAAGUUUUUUCGAACAGAGGGAGUAUAAA